UAGGGAAUCUUCGGCAAUGGGGGGAACCCUGACCGAGCAACGCCGCGUGAGUGAAGAAGGUUUUCGGAUCGUAAAGCUCUGUUGUUAAGGAAGAACGAGUGUGAGAAUGGAAAGUUCAUACUGUGACGGUACUUAACCAGAAAGGGACGGCUAACUACGUGCCAGCAGCCGCGGUAAUACGUAGGUCCCGAGCGUUGUCCGGAUUUAUUGGGCGUAAAGCGAGCGCAGGCGGUUAGAUAAGUCUGAAGUUAAAGGCAGUGGCUCAACCAUUGUAGGCUUUGGAAACUGUUUAACUUGAGUGCAGAAGGGGAGGGUGGAAUUCCAUGUGUAGCGGUGAAAUGCGUAGAUAUAUGGAGGAACACCGGUGGCGAAAGCGGCUCUCUGGUCUGUAACUGACGCUGAGGCUCUAAAGCGUGGGGAGCGAACAGGA
rnacentral:rRNA from 1 species